AAAAACGGAAGGAUUCAGUUUGUUCAAUGGUUUUGAAACAAAGGGUAUCAACAGAAGAAGCUUGGUCCCUGAAACGUCUCUCAAUCUACAAGCAAACCCUGCAGCGAUGUCUAGAUCUAUGAACUUCAGGGAGAGCACACAACAAUAAUCAAAACACUGAUAUAGUCAUAUAGAAUAUAUACGUAUAUAUAAUAUAUUCAUGAACUGAGAGAUUUGAUAUUUUAGCUAAUUGUUACCUUGUGAAAGAAGGGAAAAGCUGUGUAGAUAUUUUGUUGUUGUUCGAACUAAGAGACUAGAUAUAUAAGUAGUGCUGUGUUGUACACAAAUAGAAAUAUUUUUUGAGAGUUGUAGAUA
rnacentral:lncRNA from 1 species